rnacentral:misc_RNA from 1 species
AGCUGCCUCACAAUUACAAAAAUCUACAAAUUAAUUUUUCUCCUUUUCUUCUCAUACACUUCAAACAAAGGUCAGUCAACUUAAAGAAUCAACCCGCUCCUUUCUCAGUCAAUACGAACAACACAACCAAUCACGAACCACCAUCACCCCUCCUCUUCCUCCUCCUCCUCCUCCCCCUCCUCCCUCUUCUCCUCCUCAUGAUCCAUGAACAGGUUGAAGAUAUCUGGUGAAGGUAAUGGAGAAAACAUAGGAGCUGAUAACAAACCUGAAGGACUAUAUAUAAAACUGUUGAUUCCAUAUGGACUGCUCAUAUCAUAAAAGAAUUUUGGGUCUGUUUCCGGCGNNNNNNNNNNNNGAAGGCACCGGAGAUAACAUCGCCGGUGCCGGUGAUAGGAUCCCUGGAAUCUGACCUAUCUCUACCCCCUCUAACAUACCCAUCAGAUCAUUUCUUUCUUCAAUGCUUGUACUGCUUCUCUCUCUCGGACUUGCCUUCUCUGUUGCAGCUAAUCUUGCUUCUGGUGAUACUUCUCCGUCGCCUGAGAAGUCCCCAGAUGAGAGUCCCGUUAGGCGCUGGACCACGGCCAUGAACUCGGAAACCUCGGUGUGGAUGAUUUUCGGGGACACUGCGUAGAUGAUCACUGGUUGCUGCUGCGCUGGAGGACGUGGUGGUUUCUUGAUUUUGUGAGAGACUUGAUGGAGUUUAAGUGCUGGAGGGCGAAGGCCUUGGAUUUGGUUCGGUUUUUUUGGUGGUGAUGGUGAACUUGACGGUUGUAGAGGUGGUGGCUGCUGUGGCUUUGACCUUCCUGGCGGUGGAGGUAGAUUCCCGCCGGUGGCGAAGCCGGAGGGGUCCAUGAUGAGAUCCUAGUUGAUUUGUGCUACUAUAAAAUAUAUGGUUGAGAGAGAGAGAGAGAGAGAGAGAGA